GACCGUGCGAAGGUAGCGUAAUCAUUUGUCUUUUAAAUAGAGACCUGUAUGAAUGGCAUAACGAGGGUUUAACUGUCUCCUUCCCCUAGUCAAUGAAAUUGAUCUGCCCGUGCAGAAGCGGACAUAAAUACAUAAGACGAGAAGACCCUAUGGAGCUUUAGACAAAAGAUCAAACAUGUAAAGAAACCAAGUUAACCAAAAGGAACACAAAGGCCACGAAACCCGACGUAAACUGAUCCAAAUGUCUUCGGUUGGGGCGACCAUGGGGGAGAAAAAAGCCCCCACGAGGAACAGGGACUAAUCCCUAAGCCAAGAGAGACAUCUCUAAGCAACAGAAAAUCUGACCAAAAGUGACCCAGAAUACUAAUUCUGAUCAACGAACCAAGUUACCCUAGGGAUAACAGCGCAAUCC
rnacentral:rRNA from 1 species